rnacentral:sRNA from 1 species
UAGCCGGCGGCCACCGACGUGGAGCCAGGUGGGGAGGCGGGAGGGCUGGGCCGGCGCCGCUGUCUCGGGCAGCCCGGACAUGUCCA